rnacentral:rRNA from 1 species
AACGAACGCUGGCGGCAGGCUUAACACAUGCAAGUCGAACGAAGUCUUCGGACUUAGUGGCGCACGGGUGAGUAACACGUGGGAAUAUACCUCUUGGUGGGGAAUAACAUCGGGAAACUGAUGCUAAUACCGCAUACGCCUUCGGGAAGAUUAUCGCCGAGAGAUUAGCCCGCGUCCGAUUAGCUAGUUGGUGAGGUAAUGGCUCACCAAGGCGACGAUCGGUAGCUGGUCUGAGAGGAUGAUCAGCCACACUGGGACUGAGACACGGCCCAGACUCCUACGGGAGGCAGCAGUGGGGAAUAUUGGACAAUGGGCGAAAGCCUGAUCCAGCCAUGCCGCGUGAGUGAUGAAGGCCUUAGGGUUGUAAAGCUCUUUCACCCACGACGAUGAUGACGGUAGUGGGAGAAGAAGCCCCGGCUAACUUCGUGCCAGCAGCCGCGGUAAU